rnacentral:tRNA from 1 species
UCCCUGGUGGCUUAGAUGGUAAAGAAUCUGCCUGCAAUGCAGGAGACCUGGGUCAAUCCCUAGGUUGGGAA